CAGCAACUUACAGAAAUUAGGACAUUAGUAAAGAUGAUACAACUCCUAUUGUGGUUAUGAUUCCAGGAUUAAUAAGUGAUCUUGCUUCUCCUAUAAGUAUGAAAUUCUGCCUUCACUCUAUAAAAAUGAUGUCUUUGAAAUUUUUCCCGAUUUUCAGUUAUCUGUUCAAUAACACUGCUACACAGGCUUGGUAUAACUAGUUUAUGCACAGGCUUGAAAAUUUUUUGGCUUUAGAAUUUGGAAAUCUUAUCAAAGCAGCCUGGCAUUGCCACGGUUUUGGGGGCUAUUAGGUUGUAAUUUGUGCAUCUUUUGUUCGGCCAGAAUUUAUCUUUUUCUCAAUGAAACCAGAUUGUGAAUGGAAAGCACAAGUAGGCAAUGUAUGUAUUGCUUGCUUCGACUAGAGUUGAAGUGGAAUUUGCAAGUCAGUAGAGAAGAUCAAAUUUGUACAAUCAGAUUGUGAAUGGAAAGCACAAGUUAUGGAGUCACGAAAUGUUUUGCACACAUUCUUUUGCAUUAGAAUAGAGGGGAUGUUCCCAUAAUAAAUAUAAAAAAAAAAAAAAAAAAGGAAUAGAGAGGAUGUUAUAUUUUUGGAUAUGAUACUAGAUUGUGAGUAUAAUUGCAUCAAAUGUGUUAUUUACCUCAAAAGGACUAUAGACUUUUGAAGUAAU
rnacentral:lncRNA from 1 species